rnacentral:rRNA from 1 species
CAGCAGCCACGGUAAUACAGAGGGUGCGAGCGUUAAUCGGAUUUACUGGGCGUAAAGCGUGCGUAGGCGGCUUCUUAAGUCGGAUGUGAAAUCCCUGAGCUUAACUUAGGAAUUGCAUUCGAUACUGGGAAGCUAGAGUAUGGGAGAGGAUGGUAGAAUUCCAGGUGUAGCGGUGAAAUGCGUAGAGAUCUGGAGGAAUACCGAUGGCGAAGGCAGCCAUCUGGCCUAAUACUGACGCUGAGGUACGAAAGCAUGGGGAGCAAACAGGAUUAGAUACCCCGGUAGUCCCUGUCUCUUAUAC